rnacentral:lncRNA from 1 species
CUGCUUAUGUUACUCAUCUGUUCCUGCAUGCGGUCUACUUUUUCCAUUAGAGUCCUUAGCAUAUUAAUCCUGGUUGUUUCACAUUUUGGCCUGAGAAUUUCAACAUUCUGCCCUGAGUCUGCUUCCGAUACAUGCUCUGCCUCUUCAAACUGUGGUUUUGUUUUUGCUUUUGCUAUUUAGUAUGCCUUGUAAUUUCUUGUUGAAAAGUGGACAUGAUGUAAAAGGAACUCUGAUAAUUAGGCCUUUAGUAAUGUGGAGGUAAAGUGUGGGGAAGGGCGUAUUCUACAGCCCUUUAAUUAGGUCUCCUGUUUUGGCAAGCCUCUGCUCCUGGGCUGUAAGCUUCACAGGUGCUUCUCAUUAUUUCCUUCCCACUUUAGGUGGGACAGGAUGUCGAGAGGGGCUAGAGGGGCUAGAGCAAGUAGUUCCCCUCUCCAUGUGGAAGGCUAGUGGGAGCUGAAGCUGGGAAUUUCCCUUCCCCCAGGUCAGUUAGGCUCUGGUAAAAUAAAUUCUCCUGAGGGCAGGCUGUGUUAAGAACAGAACGUUCUGGUGCAUUUCAAAAUGGUUGCUUCCUCCCAUCCCUGCCAGAAGCACAAGGGGAUUUUCUCUGAUUUUCACUCUAAGAACCUAAUAGGGCUCCUGGAGAUAAUACUCACAAAAGCGCGGGGGCCCUCCGUGAAUGGCACCCCUAGAGUUUUUAAUUCUCAGAGCUUCCAGCAAUUCAUCAAUUACAGUUCAGGUUUUCUGCCCCCAGCUGGUUCCUGGAGGUUUCUGCUCAGGACUGAUUUUUAGAUCUACUUUUUCAAUGAACAUUCCUUGAGGAAUCCUGUUCUAGUUCAACCCCUUCAUUUUAAAGGUGAGGAGACUGAAGCUCUGUGACCGUCACAAUGAGCAGGUGUUAGAGUUACAGCAAAAUCCUUUGCAUUAUAAUUCCAGUGUACUUUCUACCACUGAACAUUUCCGUAAGUGGAGGAUCCAUUUCUUCCCUGGCGAAAGUAUUCCUACAUGUGAUGUGUCCUGCCGUUAGUCAUGUGUGUUUCUAAGAAUACUGACCAUCUUGGGGCAGAUUUAUAGAUUGUUGUUAAAAUAUGUAUUGGAUUUUAGAGUGAGAGCAGUGAGA